rnacentral:rRNA from 1 species
AUUGAACGCUGGCGGCAUGCUUUACACAUGCAAGUCGAACGGUAACAGGCCGCAAGGUGCUGACGAGUGGCGAACGGGUGAGUAAUGCAUCGGAACGUGCCCAGUCGUGGGGGAUAACGCAGCGAAAGCUGUGCUAAUACCGCAUACGAUCUGUGGAUGAAAGCGGGGGACCGAAAGGCCUCGCGCGAUUGGAGCGGCCGAUGUCAGAUUAGGUAGUUGGUGGGGUAAAGGCUCACCAAGCCAACGAUCUGUAGCUGGUCUGAGAGGACGACCAGCCACACUGGGACUGAGACACGGCCCAGCCUCCGGCGGGAGGCAGCAGUGGGGAAUUUUGGACAAUGGGCGCAAGCCUGAUCCAGCAAUGCCGCGUGCAGGAAGAAGGCCUUCGGGUUGUAAACUGCUUUUGUCCGGAAAGAAAAGCACUGGGUUAAUACCUCGGUGUUCUGACGGUACCGGAAGAAUAAACACCGGCUAACUUCGUGCCAGCAGCCGCCGUAAAAC